rnacentral:rRNA from 1 species
AGAGUUUGAUCCUGGCUCAGAGUGAACGCUGGCGGCGUGCCUAAUACAUGCAAGUCGAACGGAGAUUAAGUAGCUUGCUAUUUAAUCUUAGUGGCGCACGGGUGAGUAAUAUAUAGCUAACUUGCCCAUUACUAAGGGACAACAGUUGGAAACGACUGCUAAUACCUUAUACUCCGUAUCUAUAUAAGUAGAUACGGGAAAGUUUUUCGGUAAUGGAUAGGGCUAUAUCGUAUCAGCUAGUUGGUAAGGUAAUGGCUUACCAAGGCUAUGACGCGUAACUGGUCUGAGAGGAUGAUCAGUCACACUGGAACUGAGACACGGUCCAGACUCCUACGGGAGGCAGCAGUAGGGAAUAUUGCUCAAUGGGGGAAACCCUGAAGCAGCAACGCCGCGUGGAGGAUGACACUUUUCGGAGCGUAAACUCCUUUUCUUGGGAAAGAAUUAUGACGGUACCCAAGGAAUAAGCACCGGCUAACUCCGUG